ACCAAAGGAUAAUAGUAUUCCACUGGUCUUAGGC
rnacentral:tRNA from 2 species